rnacentral:misc_RNA from 1 species
GUUGCAUCCCUGAGUCACAUACGAACAGUCGACAAAAUUCUAUUCGAGAGUGAAGUACGCGAUACGAUUUUUUUUUAUUCAAGUCCGUGCCCUGGUGCAGGAGAUUUCAACGCGCGAACAGAACGUUACUAACUAUCAAACAAAAAAGAGAAUUUAAAGUUUGACAGAAAAAAAUGGCUGAUCAACGAAUUUUAUCAAUUUUAUAUGUUGGGAUUCUUUGGGGAUGCGUUUUGGGACUUCAGAGACCAGCGCCGAGAUAUUCUCAGCAAUUGAUGCCAGACACCUCGUUUACUUGCCAACACAAAAUCGUAGGUAGUUAUUACGCAGAUCCCGAAACUGAUUGCCAACUUUUCCACGUCUGCGUCUCGGUCGCUGGAAGCAUCCAGGAUUACCGAUUCUUGUGUCCUAACGACACAGCUUUUGACCAGGAAAGUCAAACCUGCGCGGAUUGGUACGACGUAGACUGCGAGGCAGCGACUUUGUACUACGCAAGCGAUAAUUUCGAUCUUUAUAGGCUUGGAUCAGGCCUAGAAUCUCUGCAUUAUGAUAGCGUGCGGAACGACGUUGAGCCCCUGGAUCAUCUGCAGCGUAGCGAAUCAAGCGACCCAGUUAGAUCUUCUAUCAAUAAUUUGAACAGAGCAGCAGCUAUUCCAAACGAUAACAACAAUAAUCGGGAUAUAUUGAGGGGUAGCAGCAGCAGCAAUUUCUACAACAACCGCAAUAACGGCAAAGAAGACGAUUAUGAUAACGAUAAAGUGUACAGGGAAGAGUCGGCCGUCGAGUCUAAAAGGAAGCAAGGCGUGAGAAAAGUCGCCCGGAAACAGCAAUACAAUAAUAACAACAACCUUGUUCCAACAACGGUCAGUCCGGCUCCAACUUACGACAAUCAGAAUAGAAAUAAUUAUCAGAACAAUGCGGGUAACUACCAGAACGGUAACAACUUCAAUCAGAGGCAAAGGACUAGUACAUUAGUCCCGUCGUCCUCAUCCGCUCGCCCCUACGAAGAACCGCAAGAAAAUAAUUUCGGCAGGAUAAAUAACAAUAACCAGAACAAUAAUCAUCAAAGAAACAGCAACAAUAACGCACCGUCGACUUUCAGACCUACAACUACGAAUUCUUACCAAGAAAAUACCUACACCAACCAGCAAAAGAACUAUAACAAUUUCAAUAGCAACAAAUUCACCACUAAUCAACAGCAGAACUACGGAAGCACAAACUUCGAUCAAACUCCAGCCAUCGGCACAACCCUCAGACCAUCGGAAUACAACACAAACGUUAACAACAAGAAGAAGAACACGGAACAACAGCCUUUUACCAAACAAUACAACAAUAAUCAGUACAAUCAGUACACCGCACAGUCGACCACCCCCAGGGCCACCACGAGCUUCCAGUCGACGGAUUUCACCGCUUACCAGCAAAAAAAUUAUAACAAUAUUCAAAGGACAACCAACGCUGGUUCUACUUAUCAAACAACCACAUCUGCAUCCACGUUCUAUGACGAUUAUGCUACAGCAGGAAGAACCAGUGACACCCAAACUACCAAUAAAGCUUAUACCACCAGACAACAGGAAUUUACCCAAACUACACCGAGAUUUACUAAUAACUAUGCUGGAAGUAGCUACAUCCCAACUACUUAUAGUCCGGUGACCAAAAAACCAAUCAGCACAAAUAACAAUAACAAUAGAGACAACGAUCAGUACACCGGGCAAUAUGAUACAGCAAGAACAACUAACGGUGGUCAAUAUCGUGCGGAGAAAACUGCUACAGCUGAAAUCUAUAGGAAUACCCAGGUGUACGAUACCGCGAGAACCAAUGCGAAUAAUAACAAUAAUAAUGGACAAUACCCAAAAAAAGCUACGCAGUAUAAUAACUACAAUACGGAAUCAAACUUCGAUGGAACUACCAGGAGCUUUGAUAACUUUGAUCUGACGAGGGCAGCUUCGGUCGCAGGAUUCAGCCCUGCUAGUGUGAACAAGCUAGCUGAAAGCCCCGUUACAUUGAGAUCAACCACCCCUUUUGCGAGAAGAACGGUUUACAGCAGUCCAAAUACCCAGAGGCCCAAUUCGGCGGCAACCGAUUUCGAAUCACAAACGACGCCAAAUUCGAGAACGGGAAGUUAUGUGAGCGCGACUCCGAGGCCGUUCACUUCGACACCGAGAUCUGUACAGAACUCGGUACCCACAACAACAGUUACUCCCAAGACGGGGAAAAAAAAUGAUUACGAUUACGCUUAUUAUGACAACGCCGGCACGCUGGAAUAUGAUGGUUUAGAUCUCGAACAGGUCACGGGCUCUAGGGAUUCCGCAAAACUUUCUAGAAAUUGAUGCGGUUUAAGUGAAGGGGGCAAAAGCUUUGUUUCUAAAAAGGCGUCGUGUACUUUUUAUCAAUGCUGCAGUUUAUCAAUCCAUACGUAUCAGUUUAUAUAGGUCUAGAUUUUUAUCAAUCGAUCAGUAAAGUUUGAUCCAAUCUACGAUCCGCUAAUUUUUAUACAGUAUAAAUAUAGAUUUAAGAUGUGUUUUUGUUAGGCACUUACUCUUCGAUCGCAUAUUGUCCCGCGCAAUCGAUUUAAAGAAUAACGUAAAUCUUGUUCAGCAGUAUUUUAGUAUUUUAGUAACUAAUCAAACUAUCCUGACAAACAAACAGAAAAUUUUUCAUAUAUAUUCGUUUGUAAAUAGGUUGCUCAUGCUACCGGGUGUACAUAUUUUAUGUAUUUUAAUAAAAAGAAAGAAAUAAAUACUGUCCAAAA